GGGGAAUAUUGGACAAUGGGCGAAAGCCUGAUCCAGCAAUGCCGCGUGAGUGAUGAAGGCCUUAGGGUUGUAAAGCUCUUUUACCAGGGAUGAUAAUGACAGUACCUGGAGAAUAAGCUCCGGCUAACCCCGUGCCAGCAGCCGCGGUAAUACGGAGGGAGCUAGCGUUGUUCGGAAUUACUGGGCGUAAAGCGCACGUAGGCGGCUACUCAAGUCAGAGGUGAAAGCCCGGGGCUCAACCCCGGAACUGCCUUUGAAACUAGGUAGCUAGAAUCUUGGAGAGGUCAGUGGAAUUCCGAGUGUAGAGGUGAAAUUCGUAGAUAUUCGGAAGAACACCAGUGGCGAAGGCGACUGACUGGACAAGUAGUGACGCUGAGGGGCGAAAGCGUGGGGAGCAAAC
rnacentral:rRNA from 1 species